rnacentral:rRNA from 1 species
CAGCCGCCGCGGUAAUACGUAGGGGGCGAGCGUUGUCCGGAAUUAUUGGGCGUAAAGCGCGCGCAGGCGGUCCUUUAAGUCUGAUGUGAAAGCCCACGGCUCAACCGUGGAGGGUCAUUGGAAACUGGGGGACUUGAGUGCAGGAGAGGAGAGCGGAAUUCCACGUGUAGCGGUGAAAUGCGUAGAGAUGGGGAGGAACACCAGUGGCGAAGGCGGCUCUCUGGCCUGUAACUGACGCUGAGGCGCGAAAGCGUGGGGAGCAAACAGGAUUAGAUACCCUGGUAGUCCACGCCGUAAACGAUGAGUGCUAAGUGUUAGAGGGGUCACACCCUUUAGUGCUGCAGCUAACGCGAUAAGCACUCCGCCUGGGGAGUACGGCCGCAAGGCUGAAACUUAAAGGAAUUGGCGGG